GUGUCAGCAGCCGCGGUAAGACAGAGGGUGCAAACGUUGUUCGGAAUUACUGGGCAUAAAGCGCACGUAGGUGGUCCGCUAAGUCGCGUGUGAAAUCCCUCGGCUCAACCGAGGAAUUGCGGGCGAUACUGGCGGGCUAGAGAUCGGGAGGGGUGAGUGGAACUCCAGGUGGAGCGGUGAAAUGCGUAGAUAUCUGGAGGAACACCGGUGGCGAAAGCGACUCACUGGCCCGACACUGACACUGAGGUGCGAAAGCUAGGGUAGCAAACGGGAUUAGAUACCCUUGUAGUCC
rnacentral:rRNA from 1 species